rnacentral:rRNA from 1 species
UACGAAGGGGGCUAGCGUUGUUCGGAAUCACUGGGCGUAAAGCGCACGCAGGCGGAUCGAUAAGUCGGGGGUGAAAUCCCGGGGCUCAACCUCGGAAUUGCCUUCGAUACUGUCUGUCUUGAGUCCGGGAGAGGUGAGUGGAACUGCGAGUGUAGAGGUGAAAUUCGUAGAUAUUCGCAAGAACACCAGUGGCGAAGGCGGCUCACUGGCCCGGUACUGACGCUGAGGUGCGAAAGCGUGGGGAGCAAACAGG